CCUACGGGAGGCUGCAGUGGGGAAUAUUGCACAAUGGGCGCAAGCCUGAUGCAGCCAUGCCGCGUGUGUGAAGAAGGCCUUCGGGUUGUAAAGCACUUUCAGCGGGGAGGAAGGCGGUGAGGUUAAUAACCUCAUCGAUUGACGUUACCCGCAGAAGAAGCACCGGCUAACUCCGUGCCAGCAGCCGCGGUAAUACGGAGGGUGCAAGCGUUAAUCGGAAUUACUGGGCGUAAAGCGCACGCAGGCGGUCUGUCAAGUCGGAUGUGAAAUCCCCGGGCUCAACCUGGGAACUGCAUUCGAAACUGGCAGGCUAGAGUCGUGUAGAGGGGGGUAGAAUUCCAGGUGUAGCGGUGAAAUGCGUAGAGAUCUGGAGGAAUACCGGUGGCGAAGGCGGCCCCCUGGACAAAGACUGACGCUCAGGUGCGAAAGCGUGGGGAGCAAACAGGAUUAGAUACCCGUGUAGUC
rnacentral:rRNA from 1 species